rnacentral:lncRNA from 1 species
CACCUCUGUAGGGGGGAGGAUUGGGAAGGGGGGGUGUAGCACAAGAACUGUCGUUGACGGUGGCCGCCCUCCCUUCCCUCUCUUUAAUCCUCAGCCUCCUGGGAUUCUCUGCCUCUAACCCUAUUACAGGGGCUGAGUCACUGGCGUACUGGUGUUCUUCCAUGCCGUCCAUGGGAGGGGUGCGUCACUUGAGUGGGCUGAGUCACUGACUAGGUCUUCCUGUCUGGGUUGGCGCCCCCCCCUUGGGUUGUGCCGUGGCGGAGAUCUUUGUGGGCUAUACUCUGCCUUGUCUUAGGACGGACCUGAGCCCUAGGACCAUGCCUCAGGACUACCUGGCAUGAUGACUCCUUGCUGUCCCCAGUCCACCUGGCCAUGCUGCUGCUCCAGUUUCAACUGUUCUGCCUGCGGCUAUGGAACCCUGACCUGUUCACCGGACGUGCUUGUUGCACCCUCGACAACUACUAUGAUUAUUAUUAUUUGACCAUGCUGGUCAUUUAUGAACAUUUUAACAUUUUGACCAUGUUCUGUUAUAAUAUCCACCCGGCACAGCCAGAAGAGGACUGGCCACCCCUCAUAGCCUGGUUCCUCUCUAGGUUUCUUCCUAGGUUUUUGGCCUUUCUAGGGAGUUUUUCCUAGGGAGUUUUUCCUAGCCACCGUGCUUCUUUCACAUGCAUUGCUUGCUGUUUGGGGUUUUAGGCUGGGUUUCUGUACAGCACUUUGAGAUAUCAGCUGAUGUAUGUAGGGCUAUAUAAAUACAUUUGAUUUGAUUUGAUUUAAGUUUGGGGUUGUUUUUCAGGGUUUUUUUUGUUUGAGGUGCAUUUCGGGGUCUGCACCUUUGGGGGGGGGGGGGGGGUACUGUCACGUCCUUACCAGUAAAAGGGGUUAUUUCUUAUUGUAGUUUGGUCAGGGCGUGGCAGGGGGUGUUUUUCUGUGUGUUUUCGGGUUAUGAUCUAUGUUCUUCUAUUUCUAUGUUUAUUCUAGGGUAUCUAUUUCUAUGUUGGAAUUGUUUGGGGUUGGUCUCUAAUUGGAGGCAGCUGAAUCUCGUUGCCUCUGAUUAGAGACCAUAUUUAAGUAGUUUUUUUUUUCAUUGUGUUUGUGGGUGGUUACAUUUCUGUUUAGUUGUCUAACCUGACAGAACUGUGGGCUGUCGUUUUUGUUUCUUUGUUUAUAGUGUUCUCUGUUUAAUAAAUACAAGAUGAGCACUAACCACGCUGCGCCGUGGUCUACUCCCUUCAACAGCCAUUACACAAGUUCCCUUCAGUGUAAUAUGAUAAGGGGUAAAACCUAAUGAUCCUGGGUGUUGUAAGGCAUAAAAGGUAGAUAGUGGCUCUGACUGAAAUGAAACUGAAAUAUCUGUUGUUUGACACCACUGAGGGAUGAUCUGAAAUGGGAGUAAACAGUGCUAGAUAGACAAGGUUCACCACACUGUAAUAGCAAGCUGGCUAUUCCUUUUGUGUCAAUCUUUAAUAAUAUUGGUUGUUGACUGUUUCUUAAAAAAAAUUAAGUCUAUUUGUUCUGUCAAAUCCAUUAGACUUUCGCUCAUAACGUUCUUUGUUUGAGAAUUGAUCCCAUUUCUUCUUGGUCAAAAUGUUCUCCAGUCAAGAGACCGGCUGGCCAAAGGGUCAUGCUCUCUGUGGAUUAUCUCAUUUCAAGACAAGUAUAUCCACACAGAAAGAGGAAAUGACAAGCCCUGCUAUAUUUCAGUAAGUCACACUCAUAACACUGCAAUCACCAUUUUGCCCUGGGUAUUGAAAGACAGCUGAGUUGACUGAAAAAUAGAAGCAUUUCAUUGCAAUUCUUGUUGGAAAGCUCUUAUUUUCAUCCAAACCUGACCAUCACCUUAGAUGUAGCACUAACCUGUCUAGAUUCCAUCACCGUCAUCAUAGCUGUUUGAUUUCUAUCAAUGUUUUAUGGACAUCACAAUGCCUGGCUGGCUGGUGAGUGCUGUGAUGUUGAAACCUGAAUGCCUACUGUGGAUGGAGGGGUAUAGAGACCAACUGACAGAGG